GGGGGGCUGGCGCAACGGUAGCGCGUCAGAUUCCAGUCCUGAAGGUUAAGGGUUCAAAUCCCUUGUCCCUCA
rnacentral:tRNA from 1 species